GAUCUUGUUUCUUCUUCAUUUUUGGUUUGUUUUGUUGUUGUUGAUUGGGUUUUUCAAAGAUUAGCUUCUUCUUUGCUAAGAUACGAUGGUGAAUACCUCAAUUAUUGAGGAUUCUACAUCUACUACGUAGAAUCGAGAGAAUCGGGGAGCUAAUGAUUCAAUUACUGUGCAUUUUAAUAAUCCUUUGCAUGGUCUUCCUUUUGAACACCUGGUUUUAAGCUUUUUUCGCAUGUAUUAGAAGGACCUGAGAAUUUUAGUUCUUGGAAACAAUUUAUGAUUGUUGCUUUGGAGGCUAAGAACAACAUAGGAAUUUUAGAUGGUUCUGUUAAACCUGUUGAUGCAUCUGAUCCAUUAUGUUCUCUGUGGAGGAGAUGCAAUUGUCAAGUCAUGGUUGAUUAGUGCAGUGUCCAAAGAAAUAGCAGAUACAAUCAUCCAUUUGCCAUAUGCUUCUGAUAUUUGGAAAGAGCUUUCUCAAAGGUAUUUUUUGGUAAUAAUGCUACAAAAAUUUUUCAGCUGAAGUAAGAAAUUCAUAUGCUUAUUCAGGGCAAUGAUUCUAUUGCAGUAUAUUACUCUAAACUUCAGAAGAUUUGGAAUGAAUUACAUGAGUUGACUUUAGUUUCUACUGAAUUUGAUUAAUGGAUGGAAUUUCUUAUGGGACUCAAUGAAACUUAUAGUCAAGUGAGGAGUCAAAUUCUUUU
rnacentral:misc_RNA from 1 species